GCGCGCGUGGCGGAAUUGGUAGACGCGCUGGAUUUAGGUUCCAGUGUCGCAAGACGUGGGGGUUCGAGUCCCUCCGCGCGCACCA
rnacentral:tRNA from 2 species